rnacentral:rRNA from 1 species
AUUGAACGCUGGCGGAAUGCUUUACACAUGCAAGUCGAACGGCAGCACGGACUUCGGUCUGGUGGCGAGUGGCGAACGGGUGAGUAAUACAUCGGAACGUGCCCAGUCGUGGGGGAUAACGUAGCGAAAGCUACGCUAAUACCGCAUACGAUCUACGGAUGAAAGCGGGGGAUCGCAAGACCUCGCGCGAUUGGAGCGGCCGAUGGCAGAUUAGGUAGUUGGUGGGGUAAAGGCUCACCAAGCCGACGAUCUGUAGCUGGUCUGAGAGGACGACCAGCCGAACUGGGCCGGAGACACGGCCCAGACUCCUACGGGAGGCAGCAGUGGGGAAUUUUGGACAAUGGGCGCAAGCCUGAUCCAGCCAUUCCGCGUGCAGGAUGAAGGCCCUCGGGUUGUAAACUGCUUUUGUACGGAACGAAAAGGCUCUGGUUAAUACCCGGGGCUCAUGACGGUACCGUAAGAAUAAGCACCGGCUAACUACGUGCCAGCAGCCGCGGUAA